rnacentral:rRNA from 1 species
GACGAACGCUGGCGGCGUGCUUAACACAUGCAAGUCGAACGGAAAGGCCCUGCAUGUGUGGGGUGCUCGAGGGGCGAACGGGUGAGUAACACGUGAGUAACCUGCCCGUGACUUUGGGAUAACUUCAGGAAACUGGGGCUAAUACCGGAUAUGAGCUCCUGCUGAAUUGUGGAGGUUGGAAAGUUUCGGCGGUUGGGGAUGGACUCGCGGCUUAUCAGCUUGUUGGUGGGGUAGUGGCAUACCAAGGCUUUGACUGGUAGCCGGCCUGAGAGGGUGACCGGAUACAUGGGGGCUGAGCUACUGCUGAUACUCCUACGGGAGGCAGCAGUGGGGAAUAUUGCACAAUGGUCUGAUGCCUGAUGUAGUAACGUCGCGUGCGGGAUGACGGCCUUCGGGUUGUAAACCGCUUUCGCCUGUGACGAAGCGUGCGUGACGGUAACGGGUAAAGAAGCCCCGGCUAACUACGUG